rnacentral:piRNA from 1 species
UUUUAGCUCUUUAAUGUUAUU